CAUAUUCUUUAGAUCAUUGAAUGAUCUGACAUGUCAAAGAGUAUUUUUUAUUACGUUCUUCGUAAAGGAAGGGGCAUAUUCAUUUUCAGUGCAAACAGAGUGGUGGAGCAAGUAAGUCUUCUUUCAAUUCACGCGAAAAAUUGUCACCUUUAAGAGUUUGUUAAGGAUUACAAUUUUCCCCAUGACUUGAUGUAGACUGACUUGCUCUACCACUUCUGCUGCACACCAAAAAGUAAUAUACCUCUCCUUUUCACGACGAGUUUAAUCAAAAAUACUUUUUGACACAUCAGGUCCAUUAGUGAUCUCAAGAA
rnacentral:lncRNA from 1 species